rnacentral:rRNA from 1 species
CCUANGGGUGGCAGCAGCUAAGAAUCUUGCGCAAUGGGCGAAAGCCUGACGCAGCAAUUCCGCGUGGGGGACGAAGGCCCUCGGGUCGUAAACCCCUUUUGCGAGGGAAGAAGUUCUGACGGUACCUCGCGAAUAAGACACGGCUAACUACGUGCCAGCAGCCGCGGUAAUACGUAGGUGUCGAGCGUUGUCCGGAUUUAUUGGGCGUAAAGAGCCCGCAGGCGGCUUGGUAAGUUCGAGGUGAAAUCUCCUGGCUUAACUGGGAGGCUGCCUCGAAAACUAUCAGGCUUGAGGAAUGGAGAGGGAUGCAGAAUUCCAGGUGUAGCGGUGAAAUGCGUAGAUAUCUGGAGGAAUACCAGUGGCGAAGGCGGCAUCCUGGCCAUGUCCUGACGCUCAGGGGCGAAAGCGUGGGGAGCAAACCGGAUUAGAUACCCUUNUANUC